rnacentral:rRNA from 1 species
ACGAACGCUGGCGGCGUGCUUAACACAUGCAAGUCGAACGGAAAGGCCCUGCUUUUGUGGGGUGCUCGAGUGGCGAACGGGUGAGUAACACGUGAGUAACCUGCCCUUGACUUUGGGAUAACUUCAGGAAACUGGGGCUAAUACCGGAUAGGAGCUCCUGCUGCAUGGUGGGGGUUGGAAAGUUUCGGCGGUUGGGGAUGGACUCGCGGCCUAUCAGCUUGUUGGUGGGGUAGUGGCUUACCAAGGCUUUGACGGGUAGCCGGCCUGAGAGGGUGACCGGCCACAUUGGGACUGAGAUACGGCCCAGACUCCUACGGGAGGCAGCAGUGGGGAAUAUUGCACAAUGGGCGGAAGCCUGAUGCAGCAACGCCGCGUGCGGGAUGACGGCCUUCGGGUUGUCAACCGCUUUCGCCUGUGACGAAGCGUGAGUGACGGUAAUGGGUAAAGAAGCACCGGCUAACUACGUG